rnacentral:rRNA from 1 species
AUUAUCAAGAACGAAAGUUAGAGGUUCGAAGGCGAUCAGAUACCGCCCUAGUUCUAACCAUAAACGAUGCCAGCCAGCGAUCCGGCUGUGUUCCUCAAAUGACACGCCGGGCAGCUUCCGGGAAACCAAAGCUUUUGGGUUCCGGGGGAAGUAUGGUUGCAAAGCUGAAACUUAAAGGAAUUGACGGAAGGGCACCACCAGGAAUGGAGCCUGCGGCUUAAUUUGACUCAACACGGGAAAACUUACCCGGCCCGGACACAGGAAGGAUUGACAGAUUAAGAGCUCUUUCUUGAUUCUGUGGGUGGUGGUGCAUGGCCGUUCUUAGUUGGUGGAGCGAUUUGUCUGGUUAAUUCCGAUAACGAACGAGACUCUAGCCUACUAAAUAGACGUUCCGAUCAUCUCCGUCGGACGUUCUUCUUAGAGGGACAAGCGGCGUUUAGCCGCACGAGACAGAGCAAUAACAGGUCUGUGAUGCCCUUAGAUGUCCGGGGCCGCACGCGCGCUACAUUGAAGGAAUCAGCGUGUGCUUUCCCUGUCCGACAGGACUGGGUAACCCGUUGAACCUCCUUCGUGCUGGGGAUAGGGGCUUGUAAUUGUUCCCCUUGAACGAGGAAUUCCCAGUAAGCACGAGUCAUAAGCUCGUGUUGAUUACGUCCCUGCCCUUUGUACACACCGCCCGUCGCUACUACCGAUUGAAUGAUUUAGUGAGGUCUUCGGACUGGCGCUCGGAGCGGCCCUCGGGUCGCGCCGGCGUGCCGGAAAGAUGACCAAACUUGAUCAUUUAGAGGAAGUAAAAKCGU